rnacentral:rRNA from 1 species
GACGAACCGUGCGAACGUUGUUCGGAAUCACUGGGCUUAAAGGGCGCGUAGGCGGGCUGCCAAGUCUGGGGUGAAAUCCUCCGGCUCAACCGGAGAACGGCCUGAGAUACUGGCGGCCUCGAGGGAGGUAGGGGCAUGCGGAACUAUGCGUGGAGCGGUGAAAUGCGUUGAUAUGCAUAGGAACUCCGGUGGCGAAGGCGGCGUGCUGGACCUCUUCUGACGCUGAUGCGCGAAAGCCAGGGGAGCGAACGGG